CAGGUAACUUUGAACACAUGGUAAGGAAAUACAUUCAUCUUUUCACGGAGAACUGCUCACCUAAUUGCUUGGUACAGUCAUGUUCAACGAUAUGAUAUGUAGUUGAUUAAAAAAUGACAAAUACUGUGGCCAGCUGCCCUUUUGAUGUCAAAUAAUGUGGAAGAUUGAACACCAUGCUGAUCCAUUAGCCAUUUCCAGGAAACAUUGCAGCGUUAUAAGAGAAAUUAUAGACUAUUUGUUGAAGCUCAGCGUGUCCAUCUCCCUGCUUUGAAGAAGGCAAGCUUCAUUAAAACCAACAUCUUACUUGGUCUAAAACAUCUUUGGAGUAGGAGAUUUAUGGCCUUUCUGGGAAGGUAGUUUUAAUUUUUAUAAACCUUAGAAUUAAGAAGUUCUUUUGUAAAUACAAUUACAAUUCUUUCACCUAGA
rnacentral:lncRNA from 1 species